rnacentral:lncRNA from 1 species
GGCGGCGACGAAGACUCGAAGACGGCGGCGAGGUGCUCCUGCUGCUUGCCGUCGUCCUCUCAGCUGCAGUCCCAGGCGGUGACAGUGCGCGCCCUGCGCGCCCGCAUCUACCACGCCGUCGCGCCGGCGGAGCUCCUCCUAGCGGCGUUCCGCCGCGUGUCCGUGCUCGCCGAGGAAGCUGCGGCGGCGCUCCCGGCGGACCCCGCGGACGCCGAGUGCGUGGCGGGGCGGUGGUGCGCGCGCAUCGACCGCGCCAUCGCGCCGGCGGAGCUCCUCCUAGCGGCGUUCCGCCGCGUGUCCGCGCUCACCAAGGAAGCCGCGGAGGCGCUCCCGGCGGACCCUGCGUACGCUGAUGGCGCGGUGGGGUUCGUCGGCCACGUGGACCAGCUGUGCGACGCCAUCGAGGAGGCGGUGGCGCGUGGGGACGAGGCCGUGAGGAGGGUGGAGGAGGUCGCCAUCGGCCGCAGUUGCGUGCGGCGGCUGACCAAUGCGGUGGCGGCGGCGCUGCGCGCGGUGUAUGAGGCGGAGGCGGAGGAGAUGCGCUUCGAGGGCCCUCUCGACGAGGCGCUGCUCGACCUCCAGGACCUCUUCGAGGCGGCGAGGAGGCGGUCGGAGAGGCCCGCCACGAUGGGGAAGAAGAGAGCAGCUGGUCACACUCGACACCCAGCUGCGUUGCUCGACCAUGCCCUGCAGGAGACCAACGCUAGCAUCCACGCUGCGCUCGACUGCGCUCGAGGUUACCUUGCCGGCAAGCUCCCUCUCCGGCUUGACUCCGGGAAGAUGAUGGGAGAAGGAAGGAAGAAGACGGAAAAGAUGGGGGAUGGAUGGAAAAUGUGACGGUAGUGGU